rnacentral:rRNA from 1 species
GUGCCAGCAGCCGCGGUAACACGUAUGGGGCGAGCGUUGUUCGGAAUUAUUGGGCGUAAAGGGCGCGUAGGCGGUCCUGCAAGCUUGGUGUGUAAGCCCACAGCUCAACUGUGGAUCCGCGCUGAGAACUGUAGGACUUGAGUUCUGGAGGGGAAGCUGGAAUUCCUGGUGUAGGGGUGAAAUCUGUAGAUAUCAGGAAGAACAUCAGUGGCGAAGGCGAGCUUCUGGCCAAGAACUGACGCUGAGGCGCGAAAGCGUGGGGAGCGAACAGGAUUAGAUACCCUGGUAGUCCACGCCGUAACGAUGUGCACUAGGUGUCGGGCCAUGGAGGUUCGGUGCCGUAGCUAACGCGAUAAGUGCACCGCCUGGGGAGUAUGCCCGCAAGGGUGAAACUCAAAGGAAUUGACGGGGGCCCGCACAAGCGGUGGAGCAUGUGGUUUAAUUCGAUGAUACGCGAGAAACCUUACCAGGGCUUGACAUAUACCGGACGGCGGUAGCGAUAUCGCUUCCCUUCGGGGCCGGUAUACAGGUGCUGCAUGGCUGUCGUCAGCUCGUGCCGUGAGGUGUUGGGUUAAGUCCCGCAACGAGCGCAACCCCCUGCUGUCUGUUACCAUCAUUAAGUUGGGGACUCAGACGGAACUGCCGGUGACAAACCGGAGGAAGGUGGGGACGACGUUCAAGUCAUCAUGGCCCUUAUGUCCUGGGCUACACACGUGCUACAAUGGCCAGUACAGAGUGAAGCGACACCGCGAGGUAGAGCAAAUCGCCGAAAGCUGGUCUCAGUUCGGAUUGGAGUCUGAAACUCGACUCCAUGAAGGUGGAAUCGCUAGUAAUCGCGCAUCAGCAUGGCGCGGUGAAUACGUUCCCGGGCCUUGUACACACCGCCCGUCACACC